UUUUUUGUAAAGAAUAUUAUAUAGAAUAUUUCUAAGUUGAUAUAUUAUUGUAAUAUUAGACUUCCUUAUAGAAUAAGGAAGGUUGUUGGAAAUAUCUUUAUAAAUAUUCUAGGUCAUGAGAGGAAAAAGUCAUGAGAUGGAGAUGAGCCUAUAGAGACUAUACGAGGUGGAUAGAGAUGUGAGGAAGAAUGGGAGGUACCUGGUGGAGCGAGAGGGCUCGUAGUAAGGUAUGGAUACAAGGAGUGGGGAAACAUGGGAUGUUUCGAGAACCCAAUAGUUGUAUCUGGUUCUAUCCUCUGUAAUAUUCUCUAUUGUAUAGUGGAAUUAUUCUCUCUCAUCCGUGGACGUAGGCAUGGUUGGUUGAACCACGUUAAAACCUCGUGUACCGUAUGUGUGAUUGUUUUAUCUUUGUGUUCUUGAACUAACAUUGUUGGCAUCAAAGCUUUCGCUGGCACAACAAUUGGUAUCAGAGCUUGGGUUGAAGAUUUCUGGAAGAGUAAAAGAUCACAAAGCACACAAGAUGAAAACAAAAGGAAUUUUCACUGAAGGUGGAGUCGAUUGCUCUUUCGUGGUGAUAUGAUACAAAAAGGUUUGUGUCAUGGAGAGAUUGAAGAUUAACUUCAUGUAAUUUGGUCCAAGGUGGAGAUUGUUAGGAAGUGUCCCAAAUUCCUAAUUA
rnacentral:lncRNA from 1 species